AUACGGAGGGUGCAAGCGUUAUUCGGAUUAUUGGGCGUAAGGAGCGCGUAGGCGGUUUAUCAAGUCAGAUGUGAAAGCCCUGGGCUCAACCUGGGAAGUGCAUUUGAAACUAGUAGACUUGAGUAUGGGAGAGGGGAGUGGAAUUCCUGGUGUAGAGGUGAAAUUCGUAGAUAUCAGGAGGAACACCGGUGGCGAAGGCGACUUCCUGGACCAAUACUGACGCUGAGGCGCGAAGGCGUGGGGAGC
rnacentral:rRNA from 1 species